rnacentral:sRNA from 2 species
GUUUAAGUUUUCUAGGGUUCCGCAGUUUAUAGCUGGCAGGUCCGAGAGAAAGCGCACAGUUCUUACUGUGUUCACGGAGGGAUAAAAGCCUGGGAGAU